rnacentral:rRNA from 1 species
GAUGAACGCUGGCGGCGUGCCUAAUACAUGCAAGUCGAGCGAACAGAUGAGGAGCUUGCUCCUCUGACGUUAGCGGCGGACGGGUGAGUAACACGUGGAUAACCUACCUAUAAGACUGGGAUAACUUCGGGAAACCGGAGCUAAUACCGGAUAAUAUAUUGAACCGCAUGGUUCAAUAGUGAAAGACGGUUUUGCUGUCACUUAUAGAUGGAUCCGCGCCGCAUUAGCUAGUUGGUAAGGUAACGGCUUACCAAGGCAACGAUGCGUAGCCGACCUGAGAGGGGGAUCGGCCACGCGUGAACUGAGACGCGGUCCAGCCCCCUGAGGGAGGCAGGGGUAGGAAUUCUUCCGCAAGGGGCGAAAGCCUGACGGAGAAACGCGGCGGGAGUGUGGAAGGUCUAUGGAGCGUAAAUCUUGUUUGUUUGGGAAAAACAAAUGUGUAAGACACGUGACCAGUCUGACCGUUCCCUAAGCAGAAACCCCGGCUAACCUCCUG